GGCUUGCAGGCAGCUCAGUGUCUCCACCCAUCCUCACAUUUAUAUAGUGUUUUGUCAGUAAGAGCUCACUGUCUUCAUGAUGAUCAUCAUCUCUCUGCUCCUGCUGGCCUCUCUGCUGCCACACCUGACCUUCACCGCUCGUGUGAAUGUGGGUAUAGUGAAUGGCAAAGAAGCAAAACCCCACUCCAGACCUUACAUGGUUUCUCUUCAGAAUCAUUUUAAACAUACCUGUGGUGGAUUCCUCAUCUCUGAUGAGUUUGUCAUGACUGCUGCUCAUUGCUGGAAAGGAUAUCCAGAGUU